AUGGUGCAAUGCUGCUACAAGCGUGCUGCCCCUACCAUCGUCUUCAAGUUGGACUUCUCCAAAGCCUUCGACUGCAUCAACUGGGAGAGUCUGCGUGUGAUCUCGCUGGCUAGGGGUUUCCCUGAGCUUUGGUGCGAUUGGAUGGACUUGAUCCUCCGCUCCUCGCGCUCCGCGGUCCUGCUCAACGGCGUCCCGGGGAAGUGGUUCCCCCUUCGCUGCGGGCUGCGGCAGGGGGAUCCCAUCUCCCCCUACCUCUUCCUCCUCGUCGCCGACGUGCUCCAGAGGCUGAUCCGCCGUGACGAUCUGCUACGCCACCCACUGCUGGAGGGGGAGCCGCUGCUGGUGUUGCAGUACGCGGACGACACGCUCAUCAUCAUGCGCGCGUGUCCGACCGCGGCGGCCCGGCUGCGCUCUAUCCUUGACGACUUCGCUGUGGCUACCGGCCUCGUCAUCAACUACUCGAAGAGUACGUUGGUCCCGACGAAUGUGGAGGCUGACACCCUGGCCGCAAUCGUGGCGGUCAUGGGGUAUCGUGCCACAAGCUCUCCCUGGCAGAUUUCCACUUCAUCAUCGCCAAGGUCGACCGGUACCUUGCUGGCUAGCGUGCCCGUCUCCUCUCCCCGACGGGGCGGCUGGUCCUCAUCAACGCCGUGCUGGACGCCAUCCCGACCUAUGCCAUGGGCGUGCUCAAGCUGCCUCCCAAGGUAG
rnacentral:rRNA from 1 species